rnacentral:rRNA from 1 species
CGGUAAUUCCAGCUCCAAUAGCGUAUACUAAAGUUGUUGCAGUUAAAAAGCUCGUAGUUGGAUUUCUGCGGGGACGGAGCGGCCGGACGCAACUUGCGUCUCGAGCUAGCGCUUUCCCCACAUCCUGCCGCGAACCGUGCUACCAUUAGUUUGGUGGCGCUGGGGAUCGGCUCGAUUACUUUGAGAAAAAUAGAGUGUUCAAAGCAGGCCACACGCCUUGAAUAAGUUAGCAUGGAAUAAUGACUAAGGACUUUGGUUCUUUUCGUUGGUGUUCGGGACUGAAGUAAUGAUUGAUAGGGACAGUUGGGGCGGUCCGUAUUCCAAAGCGAGAGGUGAAAUUCUUAGACCUUCGGAAGACGAACAGCUGCGAAAGCGUUCCGCAAGGAUGUUCCCUUUGAUCAAGAACGAAAGUUGGGGGAUCGAAGACGAUCAGAUACCGUCGUAGUCUCAACUAUAAACUAUACCAGCUAGGGAUCGGCCAACGUUUAAUUAUUCGACUUGGUCGGCACCUUAUGAGAAAUCAAAGCAUCUGGGUUCCGGGGGGAGUAUGGUCGCAAGGCUGAAACUUAAAGGAAUUGACGGAAGGGCACCACCAGGCGUGGAGCCUGUGGCUUAAUUUGACUCAACACGGGAAAACUUACCAGGUCCAGACAUAGGAAGGAUUGACAAAUUGAUAGCUCUUUCUUGAUUCUGUGGGUGGUGGUGCAUGGCCGUUUUUAGUCGGUGAAGUGAUUUGUCUGCUUAAUUGCGUUAACGGACGAGACCCCAGCCUGCUAAAUAGCGCGGUCGAGCUUUGCUCGGCACGAGCUUCUUAGAGGGACCAUGAUGCGCGAUAGCACAAGGAAGUUUGGGGCAACAACAGGUCUGUGAUGCCCUUAGAUGUUCUGGGCCGCACACGGGCUACACUGGCGCCUGCAACGAGCAUAUCAGCUGGCCCGAGAGGGUCUUGGCUAAUCUUUGGAACCGGCGCCGUGCUUGGGAUUGACCAUUGCAAUUGUUGGUCAUGCAACGAGGAAUGCCUUGUAAACGCGAGUCAUCAGCUCGCAUUGAAUACGUCCCUGCCCUUUGUACACACCGCCC